rnacentral:rRNA from 1 species
AGAGUUUGAUCCUGGCUCAGAUUGAACGCUGGCGGCAUGCUUUACACAUGCAAGUCGAACGGCAGCACGGGUGCUUGCACCUGGUGGCGAGUGGCGAACGGGUGAGUAAUGCACCGGAACGUACCCAGUAAUGGGGGAUAACACAUCGAAAAAUGUGCUAAUACCGCAUACGCCCUGAGGGGGAAAGCGGGGGAUCGUAAGACCUCGCGUUAUUGGAGCGGCCGAUGCCGGAUUAGCUAGUUGGUGAGGUAAGAGCUCACCAAGGCGACGAUCCGUAGCUGGUCUGAGAGGACGACCAGCCACACUGGGACUGAGACACGGCCCAGACUCCUACGGGAGGCAGCAGUGGGGAAUUUUGGACAAUGGGCGCAAGCCUGAUCCAGCCAUGCCGCGUGAGUGAAGAAGGCCUUCGGGUUGUAAAGCUCUUUCGCAAGGAAAGAAAACUUAUCU